rnacentral:rRNA from 1 species
UACGUAGGGGGCAAGCGUUGUCCGGAAUCAUUGGGCGUAAAGCGCGUGUAGGCGGCUCGGUAAGUCUGCUGUGAAAGUCCAAGGCUCAACCUUGGGAUGCCGGUCGAUACUGCCGGACUAGAGUUCGGAAGAGGCGAGUGGAAUUCCCGGUGUAGCGGUGAAAUGCGCAGAUAUCGGGAGGAACACCUAUGGCGAAGGCAGCUCGCUGGGACGUUACUGACGCUGAGACGCGAAAGCGUGGGGAGCAAACAGG